GUCCCAGUUCGGAUUGUAGUCUGCAACUCGACUACAUGAAGCUGGAAUCGCUAGUAAUCGCGGAUCAGAAUGCCGCGGUGAAUACGUUCCCGGGUCUUGUACACACCGCCCGUCACACCAUGGGAGUCAGUAACGCCCGAAGCCGGUGACCCAACCGAUAAGGAGGGAGCCGUCGAAGGUGGGACCGAUAACUGGGGUGAAGUCGUAACAAGGUACC
rnacentral:rRNA from 1 species